AAGUCGUAACAAGGUAACCGUAGGUGAACCUGCGGUUGGAUCAUUAACACGUUUUUACGUCUAUCAACCAACUGUGCAUAGCAAUGACGAAUGAAACCGCAAGGGAGUAAGGAAAGCAUUGUUUUUUUCACAUUUUUCACCAAAUGUCAUUCACAUUAGUUGUUUGAAUCAGUGUUAUACUUGUAUACUGCUGAUUAUGUGGAUAUCUACAUAUCUUUGUACAUAAUUCUUACAUACAACUCUUAGCAAUGGAUAUCUUGGUUCUC
rnacentral:misc_RNA from 1 species